rnacentral:rRNA from 1 species
GUUCGCUACGGGAGGCAGCAGUGGGGAAUAUUGCGCAAUGGGGGCAACCCUGACGCAGCAACGCCGCGUGCAGGAAGAAGGUCUUCGGAUUGUAAACUGUUGUCGCAGGGGAAGAAGACAGUGACGGUACCCUGUGAGAAAGUCACGGCUAACUACGUGCCAGCAGCCGCGGUAAUACGUAGGUGACAAGCGUUGUCCGGAUUUACUGGGUGUAAAGGGCGCGUAGGCGGGAUAGCAAGUCAGCGGUAAAAUGUCGGGGCUCAACCCCGGCCGGCCGUUGAAACUGGUUUUCUAGAGUUGGAGAG